UACGUAGGGUGCAAGCGUUGUCCGGCAUUAUUGGGCGUAAAGAGCGUGUAGGCGGCUUGAUUAGUCUGCUGUGAAAGUCCAGGGCUCAACCCUGGAAUGCCGGUGGAUACUGUCAAGCUAGAGUCCGGAAGGGGCGAGUGGAAUUCCUGGUGUAGCGGUGAAAUGCGCAGAUAUCAGGAGGAACACCAAUGGCGAAGGCAGCUCGCUGGGACGUGACUGACGCUGAGACGCGAAAGCGUGGGGAGCAAACAGG
rnacentral:rRNA from 1 species